GGAUUCAUUUCAGGAGAGAAGGAAGAAGUCCAACCCAUCACUUAACAAGAGAUGGACAACUGGAAUGCCAGUUGCUGGAAUACUAACCCUCUCUGUCAGUGUCUUGGAGCCAGCUUUGCUGAGCAUCUGUCUAGAAUGACAAUGAAAACAUCUUUCAGCAUCAGGUUCUGCAGAAUGAAGUCACUACCCACUGCAGUCCCCGACCUCCAACACGCCCUGACAGGAGUUCAGGAUGGAGAUCAGGAAGGAGGCACUCUGUGCUCUGGGAAAACUGACACAGCAGAGAGACAUCUGUUCCUCCUGAUUCUCAGCCGCUUUCUCCCAAGAUGUGAGUUGAUCUGCACGUCAUCCCUUCACCAUAGUCACAUGCAUACUGACCUCCUCUACGUCCGUGGGGCAGUUUCUCAGAGCUGAGGAGAGGCUGACCUCCAGCCUGCAGUCCUCAGCAAGUACUCCCAAUAAAAUACACUCUCAGAAAUCAUGUUUUUGGGCUCUUGUUUUUUAGUGGUUGACGGUCCCCUUCCAGGAGACCUCCUCAGGUAACCUGCUGUUCUCAUUCUAAAGGAAAUCACCUGCAUUUCUCACCUCCAGUCCAGACGGUCAUCCUGUUGUCUCCUGAUGGAGUCCAGUGAAGAACAUCUACUCUAUUUUCCAAAUUCUGUUCAAGAUGUGGGUGUUGAGGAGGCCUGUGUGAGACCAAGAUGGAGGAACACGUGUGCUUCCUAGACAGAAGCAGCGAACAAUGUUCUCCUUAGCAGGGAGAGACUGGCUUGAAUUGUGAAAUAAGCCUCAAAGUCUUGUAGAGUUAUCUUUUUUUAA